rfam:Brassica napus, WGS project CCCW01000000 data, contig: 21067
GUGAGCCUAGUGAUAGGAGACUAUCUAGCUUGGUUCGGAGAGUACUUGUUGGGUCAAAGACUUUUUUUGUUGCUAAAUGUUACAGCCUAAAUGCUGAACUAUUGACUCUAC